UCCAGACUCCUACGGGAGGCAGCAGUGAGGAAUAUUGGUCAAUGGCCGUAAGGCUGAACCAGCCAAGUAGCGUGAGGGAAGACUGCCCUAUGGGUUGUAAACCUCUUUUAUGCGGGGAUAAAGGUGUCCACGUGUGGAUGUUUGCAGGUACCGCAUGAAUAAGGACCGGCUAAUUCCGUGCCAGCAGCCGCGGUAAUACGGAGGAUGCGAGCGUUAUCCGGAUUUAUUGGGUUUAAAGGGUGCGCAGGCGGAAGAUCAAGUCAGCGGUAAAAUUGAGAGGCUCAACCUCUUCGAGCCGUUGAAACUGGUCUUCUUGAGUGAGCGAGAAGUAUGCGGAAUGCGUGGUGUAGCGGUGAAAUGCAUAGAUAUCACGCAGAACUCCGAUUGCGAAGGCAGCAUACCGGCGCUCAACUGACGCUCAUGCACGAAAGUGUGGGUAUCGAACAGGAUUAGAUACCCUUGUACCA
rnacentral:rRNA from 1 species